rnacentral:rRNA from 1 species
GACGAACGCUGGCGGCGUGCUUAACACAUGCAAGUCGAACGGAAAGGCCCUGCUUUUGUGGGGUGCUCGAGUGGCGAACGGGUGAGUAACACGUGAGUAACCUGCCCUUGACUUUGGGAUAACUUCAGGAAACUGGGGCUAAUACCGGAUAGGAGCUCCUGCUGCAUGGUGGGGGUUGGAAAGUUUCGGCGGUUGGGGAUGGACUCGCGGCUUAUCAGCUUGUUGGUGGGGUAGUGGCUUACCAAGGCUUUGACGGGUAGCCGGCCUGGGAGGGUGACCGGCCACAUUGGGACUGAGAUACGGCCCAGACUCCUACGGGAGGCAGCAGUGGGGAAUAUUGCACAAGGGGCGGAAGCCUGAUGCAGCAACGCCGCGUGCGGGAUGACGGCCUUCGGGUUGUAAACCGCUUUCGCCUGUGACGAAGCGUGAGUGACGGUAAUGGGUAAAGAAGCACCGGCUAACUACGUG